rnacentral:lncRNA from 1 species
AACAUCUCAAAUUGUUAACUUUGAAUUGCUGAUGAAUCACGCGUUCAAAAUUUUCUUGGAGUGGGAUCAUGUGAAACGGUAAAUUCUUAAGUGGAUUAUUAGGAGCGCUUGAUAUAUUAGAUAACCAGCCAACUGAAUCAAUGCGCAUGUCUCUUUUCAAGUAAUAAAUAUAAAAAAUACUUGCGUAUACAAUCAUGAAAAUUACGAAAAACCAAUUCGUAAAUUCCACCUAACCUUUUAAUGUCUCCAAUUUGGUGAAGAGUGUAAUUUCAUCCGUGCAAUCAUGAGACAUUGGAUAAAUAAAUACGAUGUCAGGCUAUGCAUAAUUUGACCCAUACUUAUGUAUGUGCACCUAAGAUAAUUAGUAUCGGAGAACAAUCACGUCAAUGGCACGCGAGAUGCGACCCCUGUCUGUUUGAAACUACAUAAUAUACCGUUUAAAUAAUGUGCCUAAUAUCAGCUGUAAUUUAUGGGGAGUUUUAAACUUCUUAUCAGUUUGUACGAUAAUGUCGCUUUAAUCAUUGCGUUGAAUCACCUCGGUGGCGUUUAUUUAGAACAGUAUUGUUACUCCUCACCGAAAUCUUGAAGUAUUCAUAAAUACGCAUUAAAACGAUGGUUAAUCCCUAUAUCUUAAAGAUUUCAGGAUAAGUCACAAUUAUCAGACAUUCGCUUGCAGGGCAAGACUUUGUAUGAUAACAGACUAGUUCUUAUCUUUCUCUUUCAUUUAUAACUAAAAGUGUCAUGUUUUUUAAAUUUGUUCACUGACCUUUGAUUUGAUGCUUAUUGUUAUAGUUUCAGUAUCCGUAUCAUUUCUCUUUAAAUAUAAUCUCUUCUAUAAUCUCUUUGGUUAACCCUCAGUACAUAUUCUCAAUUAUUGUAAGAAAGAAGAACUAUGUAGAAAAGGUUAAUUUGCGAAAAAUUAUGAGAAAUGGUCUUCGUCGUUGUAUUUAUUUUAUAAAUCAUGAUUACUCAUCUAGAAUUCGGACAGAAAAUCAUCGACACGUAUAAUUUGAUUUGCCUCUGAUGUUCGGAGAAAAGUCAACUUUGCAUCGUAUGGUAAUCUGAGAAACCAGUUCAAAUUGAACGAAACUUAGUGUGGGAAUAUUUUCUCUGAAUAAAGAGAUACUUUCGUAGCGUCCUAGAAAAAAGAUCGUAAAGAACAGGCCGAAUAAGUACAAAUAUGUGCAAAAUUCUAAGCCGUAUUUGAUAAGGGGGUGGCCCGGGGUGUGGGAGGAGGCUGGCGGGACGUCUAGACGCGGCGUAAUUAGGAAGGUGAGCGUAGGCAGCCGACGCGGACGAACCCGGCCCGCCCUGAACGUUGCGUCACCUCUAAUUAAUAUAACAGGUAAAUUACGCAUUAUGGGUGCCAACAACACUGCUUUAAUAUUCUACUAGCCAUGUGAAUUAAAAGGACGUGAUGAGUUUCCUAUAGAUGAGCAGUUUAAGCCUUAAUGCCUCUCUUAAUAUUAAAUCUAUUGACAUCAAUGAGAAAAUGGUCCAAUUUUGCUGAAACAAAAUGUACCAAACAGCUUGGAUUUAUAACUUGCAAUGGAGUUACGGCUGUAUUCUAGAGCAUCGUAGUAGCAUGAAGGAAAUUUUAUUUGUCUGUACUUGUUACGAGUAUAUCGGUCUGUGUCCCCGAAACGGUUCAAUGACGUGUCUCGCGGAUUUCGUCUUGUUUAUCUCACUAUUCCUCUGGCGUAUCUACUGUACCUAUUCAUGAGUAAAUAAACUUUAUGUAAUGAGCGUUCUUGACGUUAGCCGUUGUAGUCGAUGUAGAACAGGAUGCAUUCAAACUAGAUGUCUUAUUAAGUAUUGUAAAGUCGUCGUAAGUUGUGUGCCAAAAAUAACACUUAGUAAUGACCAACCUACAUUCUGGCUCUUAAUCUAAUAAUAAACAGAGCAUUACCCUAGUAAAUCUAAAAUGUGUUUUUUUAAUCGUAUUUUUUUUCUUUUGUUUAUUUCCGUGCCCGUUGUUUGUGAUAAUAAACUCUACUGUAGAUUUGCGAUGUAAAGGCACCUAAUUAUAUUGUAUGUUGUAAAUGUUACCACAUGUUAUGACGCAAAUGUACCUUGCGUGGUAAUUUGAAAGAUAAGUUUGGUAUUAGUGCAAUUGAACUACUCUACGUUUUGUGUAUCUGAUUGAGAGCUCAAGUUGAAUGAAAAAUUUGGAUUGGGAAUUUGAUGUACCUACUCGAGAGACGAGACAAACAGCAGAUUUGAAACUGCGUAGAAUCGACCAAGUGAAAUAUUGCGUAGUGUUCCCAGCUCCCCAAUUUAGAGGAGCUCUACUUAGUCUUUCAAAUCGUCUAGAAGUACGUUUCCAAAGGUGUUUGAGGCAAGAAUUACUUUUUAAAGAAUAGAAUACAUCUAACAAGACACAUGGAUUUUGUAAUACCCAUGGCUGUAGAGUAACCUUAGUGGUCGCGGCUUUUUUCAUCAGUAUUGAGUUCAACAUUAUUGUCUUCCUCCUGCGCUUUUCCUACAUUUUUUUUGGGUCAGCCUAGCAUGUUUUCUUUAUCCAUACUCUUUCGUCUGCCGAAUCUCACAAGAAACAUUGUUUUUAGCCAUGUCGACUUUCAACAAUCGAAAUUUCAAGUUAUGAUCAUAUUGUUGAAUAUCGGGAUGUUAUCACUGAAACAACUAACAGGUCGAGUUGAACCUGUCUAAUAACUUUACCCAAAGUUUGACUGGAGGCAAAUAAUGAUUGCUUGGGUUAGGUCAGCUCUAACAAUAACUAUUGGACCGUAAAGUUUGGGUGCAAUAACUGAGUCGGAAAAUGCUAGGCAACUUGACCACCUUGUAAGAUAACCACUGAAAUUUGCGUCAUUUUGAACCGAAAGCACAUAAAUGUUGUUGUUAUAUUCCCACAUAGACGAUAUACGCGCGUAUCAUUGUCAUUCGGGACGCUGCGAAUGACACUAUGUUGAAGGUCAUUACGAGUGAGGAUGUGCGGAGUAAUGGUCGUGUUCCUUUGCGGAGCGCGAGCGACGGCCGCGCCGAGAUGCUGCUAAUACGAGUUGUUUGUCAACGUCGGCGUCGACUGGUGCCGCCGGUCGCCGGUCGCUAGCUAUAAAUAAAUAACAUAAGCAACGCGCCGCGUCAUCGCCGUCACUUCACGCGAAAUACGGUCGCGCAAACAAUUGCCAUUGUCUAUGUGAAUGCAACGCCAAGCCGAUGUUAUUCAGGGACGUUAAUGCAUUUAGGAUGAAUGGCGUGUGUCGUAACGUUUUGUUACGUUGUUCAUACGUUUCUGUUGUUUAUCUGCCUUUGACGAAAUAAGUACGAUUUUAUGAGUUUUCAUUUAUGUGUCAGCUGGCUAUUAUUAGUAGGUAAUAAGUGUCUAGAGAACCGAGCCUUCGAUGUAGGUAUGUGUUUUUGAGGCCCAUUGAAAAAAUAAUAAUGAAUGUCACGAUAGUAUCAUACUUUCGGCAGCAAUAUUACGUAGUACGUACUACUGAAGCAUCUAGAAAUGACCAUAUGGAAGACACAGUAUAUUUACAGGCAAGUGAAUGUAUAGUUGGUAUAAGUCGGGAGCCGCGGCUGGUGGCGGUAAAUAGCCGGUUAUUUCUAUCGAUCCCGCGGCCCUCCAACUAAGUCCUUAGAGUACGACAACAUUGUUGUGAGGACUGACUCUCGCUACGUGUAGGUACUAAGCGAGUGCUUUUAUUAUACGUUUAUACAUGGACACUGGCACGACUGACGUAUAUUUGUCGAAUAGUGGCUAUGCAGUGUGUAGGUAGGAAGGUGAACUGACUACGUCUGUCGUAUAACUACAUUACUACAGUGCGUCAGUUUCCUGAAAAGUUUAAGGUUUUUAUCAUAAAUGUAGGUGACUAUUGAAUAGGUAUUAUUAUUAAAAAAUAUAAAAUUGUCAAGUAAAACUAUCUAAUUUUGAUGAGACCCAAACAAGAUAGGCGGAUUGAUAUAGGUCAUGGUCAUAAAAAAAACAGGAAAAAUUUGCUUCUCUGACCUACAUUACACAGGUACGUCACUUACAUAGUAAGUAGUCAGUUACAAAUAAUAAAGCAGUUUGUAUUCUCAAUAUUAAUUUGGUAUACCGAAAAGAUGUCGCAGGCAGAGAGAACUCAGGUGGAAAUCAUUUCAACUCGUAUUGUUACGUGUCCUUACUUACAUACUCGCAUGUGUGCGCAUACUUUUGCAAAAUCAAUUUGAGGUCGAGUAUGCAAUAUCGAUUUUGUGCCGUGAGGUGCGGGCUAUGGGCGGCGACGCGGCGCGGCGGCGGCGGCGUAGCGCGGGUGGCGCGUAGCCGACCGAUGUAGGGAUGCAGCAAGAAUGCGACACGGCCGGUACGCGCCGCGCUCUUCUGGGACGAGAGCCCGUCAAACUUACUAGUUAAACUGGAAACUGGUAUGCUGGCACAUCACUACUCAUUAACUUUACUUGCGUUUAACUUUGUUUCUAGUUUCUUUUUUACAGAGAAUAAAGGUCUGUAAGAUGUUGAAAUCAUAAUAAAUAUAUAAUGUUUUAAUUAUACGAUUUAUGAUGACUCAUGAACCAAUCGAUGGCUCGUUGCGUGAACGGUGAGUUACGCAGCUGCCGGUGGCAUGCGGUGGUCGCGCUACAUGUGUGCGUGGCCAGUGCGUGGUGGCACUUUCUCCGACACCAGGAGUCGGUGAGCUGGACACUGGCGUGCAUAUUUCCUCGUCAUUUUUGCGCGCGCAUGAGGCCGCAAGCGCGGUCUCGAUUGUUUUCGUCGUGUUUCGCGGGUUAUUUCGGGCGUGUGCGCCGCGGCAGUGCAAGCCACUCGCGCACGUCCGACUGUCCACAACGCUACCACUACAACACUUGAUAUUCGAUCGUUGAUGUUGUAUAUUUUGAUAGAGAUGGAAAUCAACGGACAUUUUUUGUUCAAAAUCAUAUUUGAAAAUUGUAGGAUUAGGAUAAUCCUAUAUCGACAAUUUAUAGUACCUAUGUAUAAUUUUUCUUCAGUAACGUAUCUAUUUGCACUGAAAUGGGACUUAACCGGUGCGACCGAAAGUACGUAAGCUUUUGGACAAGCUUUUUAGCACGUGCUGCUCAGCGAAUGGAUAAAGUUAAUCCAAAAUAAUAAUUGGAACUAACUAGUUUUCAGCAGCAUUUACUAUAGGAAUUGAGAUAUCGAUGAGAGAUACCUAGAUAGAUCACGCAUCGCAGGUAUGCAUGGUACAUCUGAAAUGUUUAGGAUUUAUGUUCUAGUUGGCUAUUUAGGCACUCAUAUAAUAUUUUUAUACGAAUAUUAGUCAUUCACGUUUUUUUAUUACAUGUGUCGUUUUAUGUUCCAAGUGUAAUUUAAUGUCUUGUUUAGGCCGUUCGAUUUCUCCGAGUUGUUUUUUCCUAUAUUUAUUCUAGCUGGCCACUGACUUCUACUUUUUAAAGUUUAAAAUGCAAUAAAUAUGUAAAAUGGAAUCGCAAACAAAUACUGUUCCGUUAUUUUGCGCAUUUUAUUAUUGGCUAUAUGGCCGUUUUAAAUGUUUUAUUAGUAGCAUCGAGGAAAGCCUACGUGCUAAGCAGGUUACCGGAUUCUAGAUAUUUUAGCGCCGAAUUUAUGAUUACUUGAACAUCUCUUAAGUGUUAUGCGAAACGUUGAGCUGAGGGGUAGCGGCGGUCGUAGGUCGUCGGCAGAGGCCGGGCUCGGGCGUCGGCCCCGCGACCCACUUCCUCCCUGGCCCUCCCCCGGCCCCCGCCAGCGCCUCCCGUCCCACACUCCUUUAUCACAGUGAUAACAAGAAGUUGGCCUGAUCCUGCAGUAGUCUGGACCAACUUGGUGCACAAGCACCAACAUUUAUCAUACCCCUACGUCGUACAUUUGAGUGCAAACAUUUAGAGAUAGGUGUAUCUUCUAAAAUAAUGACUGGUUAUUAGAUACAUUUAUAUUUUUCUCAUUGAUGCUUCUCGAAAUAGGCGGAUUUGGAAAAAAGUAUGAGAGGGCCCUGCAUUGUAGAGGCCGGGUAAAACUAAACAGUGUUUGCUAUCAGAUUGCAGUUCAAAAUAUUCAUCCGAGAAAUUGUUGAAAUGAAUGUUAAACGUCUACAGUGCCAUUAACAGUCGAAAGAAUCCUUAGCAUAGCUAACAAAUACCUAUAUUGACUGUUUAUUUAUCUGGUGAUUAGGUAUGUUUGUGCAGUUUCUUAGUAUAAGAACAAGUGGUUUGAAUUUAGCUAGCGAGUCGUGAACUAAAACUAAAGUUAUAAAUAAACAAUCUUAAGAAAUCCAAAAUAAAACUUGUAAACAUAACUGCACGAGCAAAAAAAACCUGAUCCUAUUAAGUAUGUAUAGAUACUGAGAAGAGUUAGCAAAGCAUUCAUAUCAAGAAUAUCUGACGUCAUUUAAAAUAUCUCGCGUAUUGUUGCGAUGACCCAGCUCAAAAGCGGGGUUACCAGAUUUUUUACUCGUGUCUCACAUAUUUUGCGAUUUAUCUAAACUACUUUAAAAACCUGUCUUGGUUAAUCGGAUUUAAACGAUAUUCCAAAUGCAUAAUUCACCAUAUGAACGUAAUAGUGCAACAUGCUUGACCUUUCCGUGAAUCUGAAAUCGGGCGUCGCGACAUACGUAGGUAUGUCGGAGAAUAUUUACGAUCGAUCGAAAGGAAUAAAUCGAUUGGCGUAAACAGUAGCGGAGUGGUCGGCGGCCGUGUUGUUGGUGUAAAUAUUGAGCAAGGUGUGGAGAGGCGCUGGCGCGAUGGCGAUGCGACAAAGGCUAUGGUGUCGCGGUUGGCCAGAGGGCGACAGGCGGCUGUGUCUGCCGGCGGCGGCGCGCCGCGUUCGACGACCUACCGUCUCAAGGCCGCUCUUACACGUGCCAGUCGUGCCACCGGGCGCUUCCUGCCGCCGCCAUAACAAAUCUCUCCCCGCCCCACACCCUCUCGCCCAGCCCAGCCAAGCGCUGCUUCGGGACCGAAUGGGAUCCCAGAGCGCACGCAUCUUACCCAAUCCUUACCCGAUUCUUAGAAGAGGUCCUUUCCUAAAGCAAUCAUUCACAAGAUUUAAUAUGAUUUCAGAUUUUUCAGGCUUCAGCUACGAAAUAAUAAACUUAGCUAUAAUUCGUUCGUUCCUUCGGGAAAAUUGUAUUUGGAUUCGGAUUCUUAAAUGAAAAACGUAUGAUGUGUUUCUGCCAACGUAAUCAUUUUUUUGUCGAUACAAUGAUUUGUGAGAUAACUUAUAAUUUUUCGUGUAAUGUAGAUAGAUAGAUAUUUUCAGUGGAUAUGAAUUUGGUUUUGUAUGUAAUAUGUCUUUUCGGCGCAAAGGACCUAGGCACCUAAUCAAUAUUGCCACCUGUUGCUUUCGUGAGAUUGACUUUUGAUUGUUGAGACCGGCUUGAUGACAUGGGUACCUUAUGAGCAUCUAGAAUAGCCAGGAUUUGUAGUCAGGAUUCAAGUUUGGUUUGGUAUGGUUUAGUUAGGUAAGUGUGGCUUGGAACUUUAGUUAUAUAAACAUCCAAUUAGUUAAAUGUGGAAAAACAUGUAUCGCCUACUCUUCCAGAAUUCUUCGAAAUGUUGUGCAAACAGCACACGCCUAUACACUUAGCUAAUGACGGCGUAACAGCCAGGCCCAACAUUACCGGGGUCACUCAGAUGUCAUUAACAAGAGUAUGUGCUCAAAAAGAAGUCUUCCAGGUAGAAUAGUGCGUAUUAUAGGAAAAUCGUAAAGUAAAUACCCAAUUUGUAAUAAGUUACUUGAUAUCUGACUUGAUAAGCUGUUACAGAACUGCGUAAUAAAGGUUACAGAUGGCUAUCUACUAAUUUUCCCGAAAGCAUUAAAUGGGUAUUAUCUCUACACACAACAUAUGUUUGCUCUGCAUGUCAUUGUUAUUCUGAAAAACCCAUUUGAGAAGCGCCACGAGCUAUGUAUGUAUAUGUAUAGAAUAUUAUAUCGGCCAUAUGUAUAUAGUCGGGUUAGUGUCAGCACAUACAUAGCUAAUCUCCUGACGUAUCAGUAUGAACGAAUGACCCGGAUUCAUUGCUCCCAAGAGUACCUUAUACAUGUAGUUUGUCUAGUUUAUAUUCUUGUUCUUGAAUGAAACAAGUUACACUGCUGUAAAGGAUCCUCAUUUAUUGUGGAGGUUGUUAAUCUUGAUGGCUUAAACGACAAAAGAACACAAAAGCAAGUGGUUAUGGGAAAUAGAUAGAGCAGAAAAAGUGCAAAGAAAAACGUGUUUCGGACGUGGAAUAUAGAUUUUAGAAGAUAUGUCAUCCUUUUCAGUAAGUUAAUCAAAUAUUGAGGAGUGACAUCGUUAUACAUCUUUAUCGAGGGCGCAUUUGGGGUGCAAACUAGAGAGAUACUUCUCAACAGUCUUUAUGUUAAGGUCAGAACAUUGUUUAAAUGCAUGUAGCAUUUAUUUACAAGACGCUAGUUUACCACAAAAGCGGAUCAUAAAUUACCCCUUUGACAAUGACUGCAGUUGAAGAAAAGAAAAUUCAUCUUACACGUGCGCGGCCUGACUGAAACUAAAUGUCAAUGUCCCGUCUGUUCAAAUAUGAUUAUGGAAAUGGAUCUCUAUGUAUUACGUACUUCGCCUCAGGUAAAUAGAAUUAGCUAGACACUUACAUUUAGUAUAUCAAAUAUUGAAUUGCUUUUGAUUCCUAUAAUUGCUCUUCCAGCGAGUAAAUAUAUAAUCCUAGGAUAAGGAUUUCAAUUUAGACUUCGGGCGGCUAUCUAUUCUUGGACACUAUUUACUAUUGCUAAAGAAAAACAUUUAGAGAAAACUAUGGCUGAAAAAAUUACAAAUGGCUAACGCUUUUAGGAGAAAAUUCCAAUAAUGAUGGUUAUUUGUAGAAAUAUCAUAUUGGACAAAUAGAAAUAACAGUCACGCUAAUUAGAGCUCGUAAGCUCUCUGGUACCUUUUUGAGGCCGCUGGUUUGGCAGGCACAUUGUUUACUAAGAUCUGUUUCUAAUAUUUAAAAACAAGAUAAAACAGCGAAGACAAUUUUUUUUGUAAUCCUCUCUAACGUAACAAUUGAUUUUCUGUGUCUGUUUGAUACGGGAUGGCACUUUACUGGGAACAUGAAAAAUAACACUUAGGUACCUAUCUACACACUCACAUGCUACACAGAAACCCUACAACAUGAAAGAUUGGAGUGAAACGAAGACGGAAAUGAUUAUUUUCUCACGUCAAGUCUAAACAUCGAGUGCUUACGUUAAACGUAUCGCUUUGUUGGUCGUAAGUAUGUAGUAGACACAUCAAUCAGGCGCAUACGCAUAACGUGAGUGAAUACAUUCGAAGAACAUACUUCAAAGAGGCUGCAAGUACAUACCAGCUAAAUUUGGGAUCGUUUGAAACUUUGUAGUACACGUGAUGAGCUAAAGUGAAGUCGGUGCAACAUGCUUAAGUACCCAUUCUCAAGAUAAAAGUAUGAAGGAGUCGUAAGCACAGUUUUGCUGCAUGUUAUGGUAUUUAUCACUGUAAUGUCACGCAUUGUAGAUAUAAACAAAGUUUUUGAAAUAAAUAAUUAACAUCAUUUUAUGUUUUGAAUGAAAUAAUAAAGCCGAGCCAUGAACAAGUCUAUUUUUUAAAUAAUUUUCGUUGAAUUCUCUUUUUUGAUCCCUUUUUCUAUUUUUUUAUUUUUAUAUAGUAUGCUACAAAAGCAUUUUCUUUACUUUUGAACCUAGAAACUCAUCUUUUUCCGAUGUCUAUUAAUUUGUUUUCACUAGAUCAUUCUGAUUAGUGCAGGUUAUCUCAGCGGCCAGUAACUGCGGCAAUUAAUUGAUAACACGUAUAAAUAGUAGUUUCCCGAAGAUUCCUGAUGGUAAUAGAAAUCAAUAGUGAUGCAAUUUAUAACGACAAGAGAGCAUGUUUUUGCGACAAUAUAAUUUGCCAUACUGGAUAAAUAAGAUCUAUAUUUAUUGAUGGAAUUAGUUCCAUACAAUGUACACACUAUACAUAUAUACAAACUUAAACUACUUAUCUUUAUACAAAACUAAAAAUAAAAUACUAUAUACAAAAUAUAUAUAAACAUAUGAUAGAAUCUAUAUGAUAACAAAAACAAUAAGUUUCUGUUAGAUAAGUGCAGAUUUAAAAAAAAAAAUAUGUAAGUCAGAAAGAAGUAAAAAACGCUGAUAUUGUGAUAAAUUCAUGUGUAGAUUUUAGGGCUUCACUUUCUUUUGUUUAUACCACAUUGCGGUACAUAUGAAACGAUGAAUGGCAUUAGCAAGUGGAAGUAACUAGUUUUAGUUCAGAUCUCGGAAUAAUUACUUUGUGAGCUGUGAACUUGUUGACCAUAAGAUAAAUAGGGCACUUAUCAGAGUUCAAAUGAUGUGUACCUACGUACGCGUAAUGCGGAGAGUCCGAGAUUAUGUUUGAAAGUUAGUCAUGAUGAUGAUUAUAUUAUUAAUACGAGUUCAUCCAGGAAAAUACGACGCGAAAUAUUUGAAUGAAAUAAUAUUUUGUUCGAUCUGAAUAGCUUGCCUACAUUGCGUUAAAACAAUGUAAAGUUUACAAACGUUUUAAAAACGUAAUUUCAAAUUAAAAUAGCGUGCCUAUUCCCCUAUUAUAAAAACUUUUCAUACAUAAUUUAAACAAUUUUCAUCUAGAUUUAGGUACACUAAGAGGAAAACGUAAAUUCUUGCUCAUGUGUAAAUGGGGAUAUACAGGUUUCAAACCGGAGCUAUGGUUUGACAUUUGUUAUACAAAUAGACGUCGAGAUAAAAUCUGAAGAAAUGGUAGUCACUUAAGCCUCUGAACAUUGUCGUUUAGAUGGCUGAUACAAAAUACAAACGUUGUUGGUAUUACUAUUAUGCGUUUCUUAUACAAAAAGAUAAUCCCUCGUAUUGUUUGAGAACUUAUAACUUGACAUUGAAACUGAAGGCCUUCAUGAUGUGACUGAAAUUGAACUUUAAGUUUGAAUGUGUAAAGUACUUACACAACUAGCUUUUUGGGCAUGAUCCCGGUGACACAAAGACGCGCAUCAGGUUUUCGAUACUUUAUUUUAAUUUAAUUUUUUUAAUUGAAACUUGCAAUUUUAAAUUAUUUCGUCAAGACUAGAAGUAUCUGCAAAGAAUAGAUUUUCUUCAUUUCAGUGCGAUUACAGAUUCACUUCAUUUACACAGAUUAACAUAAUGUAAGUGUUUCUCAAAGUUUUUGUUACUGUAGUUACAACGUUACAAUUUAUAGUAUGAAAACAGAAAGGGAAAGUUCCUAAAACCGUAAAUUACUCAAUAGAAAGUUAGUUUAUUUAGUCAAGCAUUAACUUUCUUGUCUAUAGCAGGAAAUUACUGACUUUAAUGACGUUUACCUCCUUAAAAAACUUGGUGUUUCAGGUUAGCUGUAUAGUUGAUCUCAAUAUGCCGUAUAUAGAAUAUUGUUGCUUUUUAGAUGGCAUAAUUAGAUAUAUUUGCCUUAAAGGUUCUUCUGUGUACCUAUAGAGUGAAUGAUCACAAAAAAGUAUCACCAGAGCGCCUUUCUGAGCAAAUGAUCUGAAUGAAUUAGUUUUGUCUUAAUUUAUUUAUUAUAUUAUUUAUAUAAUUAUGAUAGAACUAACGAUGUUAUUUUAAAAUGAAAUUAUGUGUUGAUUGAUUAAAACUAUUCAUGGUCCACAAAUACUUUAACCGUUGUUUAUUGUAUCUCAUUAUGUUAAAUAGUAGUCAAUUAAAUAGAUAAAAUUAUCGCUGUACAAGACCUUAGACAUGGUCUUAUUAGUGAGCGGCCUAAUUAGCAAAUUGAAUCACGCUUCAAUAUGCCUAUCGGUAUUAUUUGCAUGUGUGUUAACUUGUAUACGCUUAUCGUGGCUUAAUUGCCUCUGUGACCUGUCUGUUCGAUAUAUCUUCAUUUUAUGGUAAUGAUUCCAAGAAACACGAUUCAAUUGUUUUGUCUUUGUUGAUAUCUCGAGUUGUUCAGUGCCUACAGAUAUAGUAAGUAGAGUGUUGCGUGGAGGGGUCCGUUGCGCAGUGCGUGUGGCGAAUUCGGCUCGGCGGCUGAGACGGGGAGGCAGCCGGGGCGGGUGCCGAGGGCGAGGGCUGGCGGCGACGGAACCUUCGCCCUGAUGACCCACAUCCGCGCCCGCCGCCGCACCGCGCGCCGCGCCCUCUGCCGCAUUUCUUUCUACAUUCUCCGUCUCAAUGGAAACGGUCAUUACCUCUGUUGAGGCGUCACACCACGUGCGUGUCAGAGAACGAAAUUGAUAAUGGGUUGAUGAGUGAGUGAAGCAAAACACCGGCUUGCGGCGCAAUGGCGGCACGGCGUGGCGCGGCGCGGGGUCGGCGCGGCGCGUGGGAGAGAGCGCAGGUGUACUGACCGGGGUGCGCGGGCGGCUCGGGCGGCUCGGGCGGCGGCGACGGCUCGGUGGUGUUGGACGGCGCGCUCGCGCAGGCGGCCGCCGACGGCGCAUCUUCCGCGGCGCGGGCGGAGGGCGGCGGCGACGGGCCGGGGGGAGGCGCGCACAGCGCGACCAGCCGCAGCAGCGCCACGCACCACCACCAGAGCACGGCGGCCAGCGCGCGGGCAGCGCGCCCGACGCGGCCCGGGGCCCUCUCGCGACCGAAAUACGCGCACCGUUGACUCGUGCACCGGCGAGCGAGCUCCUUCACCCGGGUAUUCGUGCGGCGUCGGGACGGCUGGCGAGGCGACGCGGGUGCGCGCGCGCGGCCACACGGCGACUGGGGCGCCGUUCCCGACGGCGUACGACCGCGCCCGAACACUAUUUCGGGAGCGACGCUCCGCGCCGCUGCCGCCGCCCGCCCGCCGCACGCUGCCAAUUUUACGCGAAAUUGCGGGCGGGCGGUGAUGCGAUAUGUACCACGCCGCGGCCACCUGCAUCUGCGGCACCGGUGCGCUGCUCAAUAACAUUCUGCAGGGAUUUGCCUUUUUCAUUGAGAGGGUUUUUUUGCGAGAAGGUGUUGAGGGCGCGGACCCGCACGCUUGCGCCGCCGCCGCCGCUCGACACGUGCGCCACCCGUCUACUCAAAAUAGUCGGCGGCGAACGUGCUGCUGGCCCGUGUCAAUAGAUACAAUGUCGCAGCUAUUGGCAAGGAAACAGAGACUCGCACUAUCUCACUGUCUCGCGCUCUCUGUGUUGUGAAUUCUUAUGCACGGUUUAUAUUUAGACGUAAAAUUAUUUCUGAUAUAGAUAGGUGUUUGACAUUACGUUGAACUCUCAUACGUCGGGAAGCUCCACCUGUAUAAAUAUUCUGUGCCACAGGAGCGUAAUGUUUGAAAUGUUAUUUAGCAUUUCUUUAGUGCAAAUAUCUACAAUAUUACGAAACGACGUGAAGCUAAACAGUAAUUUGUUUCUUUGGUACACUAUUUUGAAUAAGAAAUACUAAAUAAAAUAAUUAAU